rnacentral:pre_miRNA from 1 species
AUUAGACCACUGCUAGAUUUGUAUGUUAGGUGUAGGUCUUUCACAUACACCUAACAUACAAAUCUAGCAGUGGUCUAAG